rnacentral:piRNA from 3 species
AAGAUCAAAAACUCAGGUGACAGCAG